UGGGGAAUAUUGGACAAUGGGGGCAACCCUGAUCCAGCAAUGCCGCGUGAAUGAUGAAGGCCUUAGGGUUGUAAAGUUCUUUCGCACACGACGAUGAUGACGGUAGUGUGAGAAGAAGCCCCGGCAAACUUCGUGCCAGCAGCCGCGGUAAUACGAAGGGGGCUAGCGUUGUUCGGAAUUACUGGGCGUAAAGGGCAUGUAGGCGGUUUGAUAAAUUAGAAGUGAAAUGCCUGGGCUUAACCCGGGAAUUGCUUUUAAGACUGUCAGACUUGAAUCCGUGAGAGGACAGUGGAAUUCCCAGUGUAGAGGUGAAAUUCGUAGAUAUUGGGAAGAACACCAGUAGCGAAGGCGACUGUCUGGUGCGGUAUUGACGCUGAGAUGCGAAAGCGUGGGGAGCAAA
rnacentral:rRNA from 1 species